rnacentral:rRNA from 1 species
UACAGAGGGUGCAAGCGUUAAUCGGAAUUACUGGGCGUAAAGCGUGCGUAGACGGUUACAUAAGUCGGGUGUGAAAGCCCCGGGCUCAACCUGGGAAUUGCAUUCGAGACUGCGUAGCUAGGGUGCGGAAGAGGGAAGCGGAAUUUCCGGUGUAGCGGUGGAAUGCGCAGAUAUCAGGAGGAACACCGAUGGCGAAGGCAGCUCGCUGGGACGGUACUGACGCUGAGGCGCGAAAGCGUGGGGAGCGAACAGG